UGCUACUAUACUUAUAGUACUUCUUUGUUCGGAAUAUUUUGGUUUCAAGUUUCAUCGUAAACUUCUUCCAAUGUACGCCUUUCACAAGAUUUACCAAAUUAUACAGGUCGAUUGACCUACAGGAGGAUUUUUACACAUGGAAUCAGGUACAGUUAAAUGGUUUAACGCAGACAAAGGUUAUGGCUUCAUUACUCGCGACAAUGGCAGCGAUGUAUUCGUACAUUUCUCAGCUAUCCAAGGCGAAGGUUACAAGUCUUUAGAAGAAGGCCAACACGUAACAUUUGACGUUGAAGACAGCGAUCGUGGCCCACAAGCGACUAACGUUGUUAAAGACUAGUUACUAGUCUGAUGAACAGUCUCGAGUAAUCGGGGCUGUUUUUU
rnacentral:other from 1 species